rnacentral:rRNA from 1 species
UAGGGAAUCUUCGGCAAUGGACGAAAGUCUGACCGAGCAACGCCGCGUGAGUGAAGAAGGUUUUCGGAUCGUAAAACUCUGUUGUUAGAGAAGAACAAGGACGUUAGUAACUGAACGUCCCCUGACGGUAUCUAACCAGAAAGCCACGGCUAACUACGUGCCAGCAGCCGCGGUAAUACGUAGGUGGCAAGCGUUGUCCGGAUUUAUUGGGCGUAAAGCGAGCGCAGGCGGUUUCUUAAGUCUGAUGUGAAAGCCCCCGGCUCAACCGGGGAGGGUCAUUGGAAACUGGGAGACUUGAGUGCAGAAGAGGCGAGUGGAACUCCAUGUGUAGCGGUGAAAUGCGUAGAUAUAUGGAGGAACACCAGUGGCGAAGGCGGCUCGCUGGUCUGUAACUGACGCUGAGGCUCGAAAGCGUGGGGAGCAAACAGG